AUACUUACCCGGCAGGGGAGAAACCACGAUCCCGAAGGUGGUUUUUCCAGGGCGAGGCUUCCCCAUUGCACUCCGGGUGUGCUGAGCCCUGCGAUUUCCCCAACAGGGAGACUCGACUACAUGAUUUGUGGUAGUGGGGUCUGCGUUCAAGCUCUGUUCUG